rnacentral:rRNA from 1 species
CCUCCGGGAGGCAGCAGUGAGGAAUAUUGGUCACUGGGCGCGAGCCUGAACCAGCCAAGUAGCGUGAAGGAUGACUGCCCUACGGGUUGUAAACUUCUGUUAUAAAGGAAUAAAGUGAGUCACGUGCGCCUUUUUGUAUGUACUUUAUGACUAAGGAUCGGCUAACUCCGUGCCAGCAGCCGCGGUAAUACGGAGGAUCCGAGCGUUAUCCGGAUUUAUUGGGAUUAAAGGGAGCGUAGAUGGGUUGUUAAGUCAGUUGUGAAAGUUUGCGGCUCAACCGUAAAAUUGCAAUUGAUACUGGCAGCCUUGAGUACAGUUGAGGUAGGCGGAAUGCGUGGGGUAGCGGUGAAAUGCUUAGAUAUCACGAAGAACUCCGAUUGCGAAGGCAGCCUACUAAACUGCCACUGACAUUGAUGCUCGAAAGUGUGGGUAUCAAACAGGAUUAGAUACCCGAGUAGUC